rnacentral:rRNA from 1 species
UACGUAGGGGGCAAGCGUUGUCCGGAUUUACUGGGCGUAAAGAGCGCGUAGGCGGACGUUUUAAGUGUGGCCUGAAAGCCCCCGGCUCAACCGGGGAUCCGGGUUGCAAACUGGACGUCUUGAGGGGGAUAGGGGAAGGUGGAAUUCCGUGGUGUGAGCGGUGAAAUGCGUAGAGAUCAGGAGGAACACCCGUGGCGAAGGCGGCCUUCUGGGUCCGCCCUGAGCGCUGAGGCGGCGCAAAGCGUGGGGAGCGAACGGG